UUUAUGAUUUUUAUAGCCGAAGGCCUGAGUUCAAGUUGUUAAACCAAGAUUUGUUUAGCGUUUUUGGGAAGAGUUCGCAGUAACCCCGCUGUUUGCCACUAGCGAAUUCGGCGUACUCCUUGUCCCAGCUCUCCUGUAUUAAUCUGUGUUUUCCGCUGUGGCAUCUUUUAUACUCCAUCCCACAACAGUGAAGGUACCGUGUGAGGGAGCGUUUUUGGCAGCCAAGUCCAUGAAUUCGUUUUGGGGUACGCCAGUGUGGCUUGGUUAUGUAGUUGUCGUGACUGGACUUAAAAAUUGCAGUUGCGCUGUUUCUGCAUUCAGUCAAGAGGGCUACACGAGUUAUGCUUACCGACAUUGUCGACUGCCUUAUCAAUCGCCGAUAGAGACGACAAAAUCUUGUUCGUACAGAAACUGUCUGUGAAGUUCGAGCUAUUUACUAAAAACGCUGCGCUUGAAUACCUAUCUGUUACUGACCCGUCUGUGAUAAUGAUGUCAAAGUCUCUAUUCCUAAGAGAUCCCAUUUUUUCCUUAAAUAUUUGUAAAAUACUAGCUGUAUUCAUAUCACAUUUGAUUUUGGCAGUUCCCUUAAAGAAAUUUAGGUCUACUCUUAUCUUACUAUUAUGUACAGGUAAUGGAUCACAGAUUUUAACUUGA